AAAGAAUUAGUUAAAAAAUAACAUAAAUAUGUCAAAUUUAAAUUAUUACUUAUAAUAAUGUAAUAUUCUUUU
rnacentral:tRNA from 1 species